GGGUUCGAUUCCGGAGAGGGAGCCUGAGAAACGGCUACANNNNNNNNNNNNGGCAGCAGGCGCGCAAAUUACCCAAUCCCAAUNNGGGGAGGNAGUGACAAUAAAUAACAAUAUGGGGCUCUUACGGGUCUCGUAAUUGGAAUGAGUACAAUUUAAAUCUCUUAACGAGGAACAAUUGGAGGGCAAGUCUGGUGCCAGCAGCCGCGGUAAUUCCAGCUCCAAUAGCGUAUAUUAAAGUUGUUGCAGUUAAAAAGCUCGUAGUUGAAUUUCGGAGUUUGUCGGUUGGUCGGGCUUCACUGUCCGCACUGGCCUGAUGGAUUCCUACCUUCUGAAUAACCAGCAUGCUAUUAAGUUAGUGCGUUGGGGAAGCAGAGCUAUUACCUUGAAAAAAUUAGAGUGCUUAAAGCAGGCUUUUGCUUGAAUAGAUUAGCAUGGAAUAAUAAAAUAGGACGGCAUGGUUCUAUUUUGUUGGUUUCUAGGAUCACCGUAAUGAUUAAUAGGGAUAGUUGGGGGCAUUAGUAUUCAAUUGUCAGAGGUGAAAUUCUUGGAUUUAUUGAAGACUAACUUCUGCGAAAGCAUUUGCCAAGGAUGUUUUCAUUAAUCAAGAACGAAAGUUAGGGGAUCGAAGACGAUCAGAUACCGUCGUAGUCUUAACCAUAAACUAUGCCGACUAGGGAUCGGACGAUGUUAAUUUUUUAAUGACUCGUUCGGCGCCUUACGGGAAACCAAAGUNUUUGGGUU
rnacentral:rRNA from 1 species